rnacentral:rRNA from 1 species
UACGAAGGGGGCUAGCGUUGCUCGGAAUGACUGGGCGUAAAGGGCGCGUAGGCGGAUUGUACAGUCAGGCGUGAAAUUCCCGGGCUCAACCUGGGGCUGCGCUUGAGACGUGCGAUCUUGAGUGGGGAAGAGGGUCGUGGAAUUCCCAGUGUAGAGGUGAAAUUCGUAGAUAUUGGGAAGAACACCGGUGGCGAAGGCGGCGACCUGGUCCUUGACUGACGCUGAGGCGUGAAAGCGUGGGGAGCAACAGG